rnacentral:rRNA from 1 species
AUUGAACGCUGGCGGCAGGCCUAACACAUGCAAGUCGAGCGAGCGGCGGACGGGUGAGUAAUGUAUGGGGAUCUGCCCGAUGGAGGGGGAUAACUACUGGAAACGGUGGCUAAUACCGCAUACUAUCGGAUGUGCCCAUAUGGGAUUAGCUAGUAGGUGGGGUAAUGGCUCACCUAGGCGACGAUCCCUAGCUGGUCUGAGAGGAUGACCAGCAACACUGGAACUGAGACACGGUCCAGACUCCUACGGGAGGCAGCAGUGGGGAAUAUUGCACAAUGGGCGCAAGCCUGAUGCAGCCAUGCCGCGUGUGUGAAGAAGGCCUUCGGGUUGUAAAGCACUUUCAGCGAGGAGGCGUUACUCGCAGAAGAAGCACCGGCUAACUCCGUGCCAGCAGCCGCGGUAAUUC